GCGGUGCCCGGGGCAUCUCCGCGGCGGAACUCAGGGAAGGAGCUAGCUGGGGCGGGGGUGAUGAUCCAGGCUGGGUUCCAGCGUAGGGGUCUUGAUGGGCACGCUGGGGUCGGGUGGAGUGCUGGAGGGAGAGGAGGUGGGACAGGUGGGUACCUGGGCUGGAGGCAGGGCCUGAGGUGGCCAGGUGCAGGGGGCUGCACCUCUCGGCUGAAGCCGGGAAUGAGGACCCCGCUGUCGGGUGGGAUUGGAGGGGACUCGCGGCUGAGGCUCUGGGCUUCGACAGGGACAUCCCCUUUCUCCUCCCCAGGGAGAUGGUGCUUGUCGUGCACGGCUUCCCGUCCUCUGUGGCCGCCCUUCGGUUUGAGUGGGCUUGGCAGCACCCGCACGCCUCGCGCCGCCUGGCGCACGUGGGGCCUCGCCUGCGAGGAGAGACCGCCUUCGCGUUCCACCUGCGCGUGCUGGCGCACAUGCUGCGCUCACCGCCCUGGGCGCGCCUCCCGCUCACGCUGCGCUGGGUGCGCCCAGACCUCCGCCAGGACCUCUGCCUCCCGCCGCCGCCGCACGUGCCCCUGGCCUUCGGGCCUCCACCGCCCCAGGCUCCGGCCCCAAGGCGCCACGCAGGUCCCUUUGAUGACGCGGAGCCUGAGCCAGACCAGGGGGAUCCAGGGGCCUGCUGCUCCCUGUGCGCCCAGACCAUCCAGAAUGAAGAGGGGCCCUUGUGUUGUCCCCACCCUGGCUGCCUGCUAAGGGCCCACGUGAUCUGCCUGGCAGAGGAGUUUCUUCAGGAAGAACCAGGGCAGCUUCUGCCCCUAGAGGGCCAAUGCCCUUGCUGUGAGAAGUCACUGCUUUGGGGAGACCUGAUCUGGCUGUGCCAGAUGGACACUGAGAAAGAAGUAGAAGACUCAGAAUUCGAAGAGAAACAUGGAGCUGAUCCAGGACACCUCCCGCCCACCACUGGAGUAUGUGAAGGGGGUCCCGCUCAUCAAGUACUUUGCAGAGGCACUGGGGCCCCUGCAGAGCUUCCAAGCCCAGCCUGAUGACCUGCUCAUCAACACCUACCCCAAGUCCGGCACCACCUGGGUGAGCCAGAUACUGGACAUGAUCUACCAGGGCGGCGACCUAGAGAAGUGUAACCGGGCUCCCAUCUACAUACGGGUGCCCUUCCUUGAGGUCAAUGAUCCAGGGGAUCCCUCAGGGCUGGAGACUCUGAAAGACACACCUCCCCCACGGCUCAUCAAGUCACACCUGCCCCUGGCCCUGCUCCCCCAGACUCUGUUGGAUCAGAAGGUCAAGGUGGUCUAUGUUGCCCGAAACCCAAAGGACGUGGCGGUUUCCUACUACCAUUUCCACCGUAUGGAAAAGACGCACCCUGAGCCUGGGACCUGGGACAGCUUCCUGGAGAAGUUCAUGGCCGGAGAAGUGUCCUACGGGUCCUGGUACCAGCACGUGCAGGAGUGGUGGGAGCUGAGCCGCACCCACCCUGUUCUCUACCUCUUCUAUGAAGACAUGAAGGAGAACCCCAAAAGGGAGAUUCAAAAGAUCCUGGAGUUUUUGGGGCACUCUCUGCCAGAGGAGACCGUGGACUUCAUGGUUCAGCACACGUCGUUCAAGGAGAUGAAGAAGAACCCUAUGACCAACUACACCACCGUCCCCCGGGAGUUCAUGGACCACAGCAUCUCCCCCUUCAUGAGGAAAGGCAUGGCUGGGGACUGGAAGACCACCUUCACCGUGGCGCAGAAUGAGCGCUUCGAUGCGGACUAUGCGGAGAAGAUGGCAGGCUGCAGCCUCAGCUUCCGCUCUGAGCUGUGAGAGGGGCUCCCGGGGUCACUCCAGAGGGAGUGUGCGAAUCAAGCCUGACCAAUGGGCUCAAGAAUAAAGUAUGAUUUUUGAGUCAGGCACAGUGGCUCAUGUCUGCAAUACCAGCGAUUUGGGAGGUUGAGCUGGUAGGAUCACAAUAGGCCACGAAUUUGAGACCAGCCUGGUAAAGUAGUGAGACCUCAUCUCUACAAAGAUGUAAAAAAAUUAGCCACAUGUGCUGGCACUUACCUGUAGUCCCAGCUACUUGGGAAGCAGAGGCUGGAGGAUCAUUUCAGCCCAGGAGGUUGUGGAUACAGUGAGUUAUGACAUGCCCAUUCACUACAGCCUGGAUGACAAGCAAGACCCUCCCUCCAAAGAAAAUAAAGCUCAAUUAAAAU
rnacentral:sRNA from 1 species